rnacentral:pre_miRNA from 1 species
GUAGAAUUUGAUGGAGACGGGCGGAGUGGUCAAGUUCUACAGUUUGACCACUCCGCCCGUCUCAAUCAAGUUCCACAGU